GUUUCCGUAGUGUAGCGGUUAUCACGUCUGCUUCACGCGCAGAAGCUCCCCGGUUCGAUCCCGGGCGGGAACA
rnacentral:tRNA from 1 species